UACAGAGGUCCCAAGCGUUGUUCGGAUUCACUGGGCGUAAAGGGUGCGUAGGUGGCUACUUUAAGUUUGAUGUGAAAGCUCCGGGCUCAACCCGGAAAUGGCAUUGAAGACUAUUGAGCUAGAGGUUUGGAGGGGGGACUGGAAUGCUUGGUGUAGCAGUGAAAUGCGUAGAUAUCAAGCGGAACACCGGUGGCGAAGGCGAGUCCCUGGACAACACCUGACACUGAGGCACGAAAGCUAGGGGAGCGAACGGG
rnacentral:rRNA from 1 species